rnacentral:rRNA from 1 species
CCUACGGGAGGCAGCAGUGAGGAAUAUUGGUCAAUGGACGAGAGUCUGAACCAGCGAAGUCGCGUGAAGGAUGACUGCCCUAUGGGUUGUAAACUUCUUUUAUAAAGGAAUAAAACGAGGCACGUGUGCCUUGUUGCAUGUACUUUAUGAAUAAGGAUCGGCUAACUACGUGCCAGCAGCCGCGGUAAUACGGAGGAUCCGAGCGUUAUCCGGAGUUAGUGGGGUUAAAGGGAGCGUAGAUGGGUUGUUAAGUCAGUUGUGAAAGUUUGCGGCUCAACCGUAAAAUUGCAAUUGAUACUGGCAGUCUUGAGUACAGUUGAGGGAGGCGGAAUUCGUGGUGUAGCGGUGAAAUGCUUAGAUAUCACGAAGAACCCCGAUUGCGAAGGCAGCUUACUAAACUGUGACUGACAUUGAGGCUCGAAAGUGUGGGUAUCGAACAGGAUUAGAUACCCCGGUAGUC